rnacentral:lncRNA from 1 species
CGGUCCAUUUUUCUUUCUGCUAUAGAAAUAUUCUGUUGUUUGAAAAAAAUUAUAGCGAUUACCAUUCCUGAGAAGGAAUGUUGCAGUUUCCCUGCAUUGCUGUAACAAACGGUACCACAGUGAUGAUGCUUGGAGGUGUCUCCUCAGCAAACGGAGAAGAUAUUGAAGUCUCUGAUGUUUUUAAGUGCAUUAACUGAACAAAAAAUGAUUUUUCUGAUAAAUAUCACCAUUGCA